UAGGGAAUCUUCGGCAAUGGACGAAAGUCUGACCGAGCAACGCCGCGUGAGUGAAGAAGGUUUUCGGAUCGUAAAACUCUGUUGUUAGAGAAGAACAAGGACGUUAGUAACUGAACGUCCCCUGACGGUAUCUAACCAGAAAGCCACGGCUAACUACGUGCCAGCAGCCGCGGUAAUACGUAGGUGGCAAGCGCUGUCCGGAUUUAUUGGGCGUAAAGCGAGCGCAGGCGGUUUCUUAAGUCUGAUGUGAAAGGCUCCGGCUCAACCGGGGUGGGUUAUUGGAAACUGGGAGACUUGGGUGCAGAAGAGGAGGGGGGAAUUCCAUGUGUAGCGGUGAAAUGCGUAGCUAUAUGGAGGAACACCAGUGGCGAAGGCGGCUCUCUGGUCUGUAACUGACGCUGAGGCUCGAAAGCGUGGGGAGCAAACAGG
rnacentral:rRNA from 1 species